rnacentral:rRNA from 1 species
GAUCAUGGCUCAGAAUGAACGCUGGCGGCACGCUUAACACAUGCAAGUCGAACGAGAUCUUCGGAUCUAGUGGCAGACGGGUGAGUAACGCGUGGGAACCUGCCCAGUAGUAGAGAAUAACUUGGGGAAACUUAAGCUAAUACUUUAUACGUCCUUUGGGAGAAAGCUUUAUGCGCUAUUGGAUGGGCCCGCGUUAGAUUAGUUUGUUGGUGAGGUAACGGCUCACCAAGACAUCGAUCUAUAGCUGGUCUGAGAGGAUGAUCAGCCACACUGGGACUGAGACACGGCCCAGACUCCUACGGGAGGCAGCAGUGGGGAAUAUUGGACAAUGGGGGAAACCCUGAUGCAGCGAUGCCGCGUGAGUGAAGAAGGCCUUUGGGUUGUAAAGCUCUUUCGUCGGGGAAGAAAAUGACUGUACCCGAAUAAGAAGGUCCGGCUAACUUCGUGCCAGCAGCCGCGGUAAUACGAAGGGACCUAGCGUAGUUCGGAAUUACUGGGCUUAAAGAGUUCGUAGGUGGUUGAAAAAGUUGGUGGUGAAAUCCCAGAGCUUAACUCUGGAACUGCCAUCAAAACUUUUCAGCUAGAGUAUGAUAGAGGAAAGCAGAAUUUCUAGUGUAGAGGUGAAAUUCGUAGAUAUUAGAAAGAACACCAAUUGCGAAGGCAGCUUUCUGGAUCAUAACUGACACUGAGGUGCGAAAGCAUGGGUAGCGAAGAGGAUUAGAUACCCUCGUAGUCCAUGCUGUAAACGAUGUGUGUUAGACGUUGGAAAAUUAUUUUUCAGUGUCGCAGCGAAAGCAUUAAACACACCGCCUGGGGAGUACGACCGCAAGGUUAAAACUCAAAUGAAUUGACGGGGACCCGCACAAGUAGUGGAGCAUGUGGUUUAAUUCGAAGAUACGCGCAGAACCUUACCAACACUUGACAUGUUCGUCGCGACUUUAAGAGAUUAAAGUUUUCGGUUCGGCCGGACGAAACACAGGUGCUGCAUGGCUGUCGUCAGCUCGUGUCGUGAGAUGUUGGGUUAAGUCCCGCAACGAGCGCAACCCUCACUUUUAGUUGCCAUCAUUAAGUUGGGCACUCUGAAAGAACUGCCGGUGAUAAGCUGGAGGAAGGUGGGGAUGACGUCAAGUCCUCAUGGCCCUUACGUGUUGGGCUACACACGUGCUACAAUGGCACUUACAAUAGGAAGCAAGGUGGCGACUUCAAGCAAAUCCUAAAAAGGUGCCUCAGUUCGGAUUGUACUCUGCAACUCGAGUACAUGAAGCUGGAAUUACUAGUAAUCGCGGAUCAGCGCGCCGCGGUGAAUGCGUUCCCGGGUCUUGUACACACCGCCCGUCACACCAUGGGAGUUGGUUCUACCUUAAGGCAAGGUUUAAAAACCUUGACCACGGUAUAGUCAGCGACUGGGGUGAAGUCGUAACAAGGUAGCCGUA